AUGGAGAGCUGUGCCAGUCCUGCCGGCGACUACUUGACCCUUUCCUUUCAUUUCAGCACGGUGAAGCUUCUCACAGGCUUGAUUUUCUGCUCCUUGAUCCUGGGAUCCCAAGGCUAGCUUUCCUUCACUGGGGAGCCUGCUUUACGUGGGGCUUGGGACAUGUGGAGAGCCUACUCUGACAUGAGAGAAGCCAAUUACAUCAGCUCAGACAAAUAUUUCCAUGCUCGAGGGAACUAUGACGCUGCCCAAAGGGGACCUGGGGGUGUCCGGGCUGCAGAAGUGAUCAGUGAUGCCAGAGAGAACAUCCAGAAACUCUUAGGCCACAGAGCAGAGGACUCAGCUGCCAACCAGGCUGCCAAUGAAUGGGGCCGGAGUGGCAAAGACCCCAGCCACUUCAGACCUGCUGGUCUGCUUGACAAGUACUGAAUUUCCUCUUGACUCUGCCCUCAGGACACCAGACUGUGAGCCCCUGAGGGCAGGGAAA